rnacentral:rRNA from 1 species
UACGUAGGGGGCUAGCGUUGUCCGGAAUCAUUGGGCGUAAAGCGCGUGUAGGCGGCCCGGUAAGUCCGCUGUAAAAGUCAACGGCUCAACUGUUGAAAGCCGGUGGAUACUGUCGGGCUAGAGUACGGAAGAGGCAAGUGGAAUUCCUGGUGUAGCGGUGGAAUGCGCAGAUAUCAGGAGGAACACCUAUAGCGAAGGCAGCUUGCUGGGACGUUACUGACGCUAAGGCGCGAAAGCGUGGGGAGCGAACAGG